AUUGAACGCUGGCGGCAGGCCUAACACAUGCAAGUCGAGCGGAUGAAGGGAGCUUGCUCCUGGAUUCAGCGGCGGACGGGUGAGUAAUGCCUAGGAAUCUGCCUGGUAGUGGGGGAUAACGUCCGGAAACGGGCGCUAAUACCGCAUACGUCCUGAGGGAGAAAGUGGGGGAUCUUCGGGCCUCACGCUAUCAGAUGAGCCUAGGUCGGAUUAGCUGGUUGGUGGGGUAAAGGCCUACCAAGGCGACGAUCCGUAACUGGUCUGAGAGGAUGAUCAGUCACACUGGAACUGAGACACGGUCCAGACUCCUACGGGAGGCAGCAGUGGGGAAUAUUGGACAAUGGGCGAAAGCCUGAUCCAGCCAUGCCGCGUGUGUGAAGAAGGUCUUCGGAUUGUAAAGCACUUUAAGUUGGGAGGAAGGGCAGUAAGUUAAUACCUUGCUGUUUUGACGUUACCAACAGAAUAAGCACCGGCUAACUUCGUG
rnacentral:rRNA from 1 species